rnacentral:rRNA from 1 species
UGACGGAGGGUGCAAGCGUUAUCCGGAUUUACUGGGUUUAAAGGGUGCGUAGGCGGAUAAGUAAGUCCGUGGUGAAAUCCUGCAGCUUAACUGCAGAACUGCCGUGGAUACUAUUGUCUUGAAUAUCGUGGAGGUUAGCGGAAUAUGUCAUGUAGCGGUGAAAUGCUUAGAUAUGACAUAGAACACCAUUGCGAAGGCAGCUAACUACGCGAUUAUUGACGCUGAUGCACGAAAGCGUGGGGAUCAAACGGG